CAGAAAAUAAAUUGUUCGUUGAGUUGCCCUGUCUAUUUCGCCUUGCACGGCAGUCCGCCACAAUCCAGAUUUCACCCAACUCCCGCAGGGUUUCCUCUUCUCUUUGAGGAUUGGAAGUGAGAGGAAGUGGGUAGGAUCAAACAACACCUGAAGAUGUAAGCAUUAUGAUUCACAUCUCAUUCUGGUGCGUUCAUGGUUUAGUUGAUUUCCUAGUUCCGAUUUUGCCGUUGGGAAUCCAUGAAUCAAAGACACUUUUUUGAAGUUCUUACUUUGAGACAAGUAAUGUUGACUUUAUACUGAUUGCUACUUUAUAUGGUGAAUUUCCCAUUAUCAUUGAUCAGAACCCUGAGAUGUGUAGAUAUGAAGCUUGUGAUAUUUAUAUUUGUUCCAUACUGCAUUGGCUUUAGGAGAUAACUGCUUUAAGGGCAAUCUUGCAACAGUAUUUUGAUAUCAUGUUUUGGUGGGGAAACUGGCCUGAAAAUUUGGUGGGCUGUGACCACGCUGUUUGAAUUGCACCACUUCACCUGGAGCUGGCACUGGCGGGAUGGAUUAACCAACAUUUUUAACAAGGUAUAACCUUUUUUUUUAACCGAGUAAUCAUCUAGUCGAACAUGUCCUUCGGACAGGUGUGUAAAAUUCGGGCCACCAGAACAAUUCGUAUCACGUUGGUGACAUGUAAGACUGAAGCGAAGUGGGUGGAGGUCUGGAAUUGAGACAAGCUACAUGAGAUCAACACUAGAAUAAAAUGUAAAGAAAGUAUGAUUAUGUCUCUAGUCGGGUCAAAAAUGAAAUCACAUGCGUCCGAUUAACUGACUAUUAAAUCAUAUGCCACGUGUUCCCUCAUCCACGAGUUUCCCUUCUUUUGUUAGUAUACGACCUAUCAAACUAGAAAACGACGAUAAUUAAAGAGAAUUCAAAAAAGUUCAAAAAGAAACAAGAAAAAACAGAGGGCGAACGAAAAUAACAAAACUCGGCCAGUCGCUCCUGGCCUUCGAUUUUCAUUUUUUUUUAUUUUGAAGUUUCGCGGUUAUGCCCCCAAAUUCUCUUCAUCUCCUCCGUCUUCAUCAUCGUCAACGACAUCCUCACUGAAUCGCGGCUUCCGCUCGAUCCUUUCAUGCUUUGGUUUCUCUCUCUUUCUCGGAACGGUCGAAAUCGUAGCCUUACUUUAAUCCCAUGAAAGAAAGGGAGUGAAAUUUCGGGUGUUCUGGUUUUUUUGAUCUUGGAGAAGCAAACCGUGAUGAGGUAGUUGUGGACGAGCUGUUCUUUUGUUCAAAAAUCGACUAUCGUCAUUGUUCUUUCCGGGUACCAAACACAGCUACAGUUUGAGUAUGUAACCGGGCUUUGCUGAUCUAUCCACACUAUCUAUCUCUCACACACACAUAAUUUGGAUGGGUCCACUGGGUAAUUGUAGAUUGAUACAAUUUGUGAAAGCUUUGUUUGUUCUUUUUCGUUUUUGAAUGAUUUUACUUCUAUUGCUUAUUUUUUGACAAAUCUAAAAUCUGAUUUUAUUCAAGCCAACUAUUGGUGUCUUCCUGAGGAUUCUGUGCGAUCAUACAGAGUUUUCAUUCCUUGUUUUGGUAUAUGGUUAUGGAGAAAUUAACAAUACGGGCAAGGGAAAUCUUAAUUAUGCUUUUG